AUUGAACGCUGGCGGCGUGCUUAACACAUGCAAGUCGAUCGGUAACGCGGGGGCAACCCUGGCGACGAGAGGCGGACGGGUGAGGAACGCUUGGGAAUCUGCCCUUCAGCGGGGGACAACACGGGGAAACUCGUGCUAAUACCGCAUACGCUCCACGGAGGAAAGCCGGGGACCGCAAGGCCUGGCACUGAAGGAUGAGCCCAAGCCGGAUUAGCUAGUUGGCGGGGUAACGGCCCACCAAGGCGACGAUCCGUAGCUGGUCUGAGAGGACGAUACGCCACACUGGGACUGAGACACGGGCCAGACGCCUACGGGAGGAAGCAGUGGGGAAUAUUGGACAAUGGGGGAAACCCUGAUCCAGCGACGCCGCGUGGGUGAAGAAGGCCUGCGGGUUGUAAAGCCCUUUCGGUAGGGACGAAAGCUCUCGACCUAACACGUCGGGAGGUUGACUUAACCUACAAAAGAAGCACCGGCUAACUCUGUGCCAGCCGCCGCGGUAAGAC
rnacentral:rRNA from 1 species